GCCUCGGUGGAGUAGUGGUCAAGACUCUCGCCUGCUAAACAGGAGGGCGUGGGUUCGAUCCCAGCCGAGGCA
rnacentral:tRNA from 1 species